UGUGAUUGCCAAAAAGACCCUUUAUUUCUAAAUCAAUUUGGGGCUAAAUCUGCUUCAGCUCAAAUGAGGAACUUGUAAGCCGACAAUUUUAUUUCGAUUGGUCACCUGCGCCUUCAUUCGCCUUCAGUUUUCAGAUCGGCUUCAUAUCUGGGCAAUAUAAAUUUGGGCAUAUGCGAUCGGCGUCGGUUUUCAAUGGGUAACGCAGAGGAUUCCCGAAAGGGUUGCUUAGGUGCUUUAGAUGGUACUUACAUCAAUGUUCGUGUCCCAAUUGGUGACGUUCCCCGGUACCGUAAUCGAAGAGGUCACAUCACCACCAAUACACUAGCCGUGUGUGACCCCCAGCUCAGAUUCACUUACCUCCUUCCUGGCUGGGAAGGCUCGACAGCCGAUUCAAGGAUUUUAAGGGAUGCUAUCAGCAGACCCUUAGGUCUGAAAGUACCCAAAGGUGUUGUUUACACACUUUUAUAAUAAAUUCAUC